CUACGGGUUGCUGCAGUGGGGAAUAUUGGACAAUGGGGGAAACCCUGAUCCAGCAAUGCCGCGUGUGUGAAGAAGGCCUGCGGGUUGUAAAGCACUUUCGGUUGGGAGGACUGCUUCUAGCACUAAUAUUGUUGGAAGUUGACGUUACCUUCAGAAGAAGCACCGGCUAACUCCGUGCCAGCAGCCGCGGUAAUACGGAGGGUGGCAAGCGUUAAUCGGAAUUACUGGGCGUAAAGCGCGCGUAGGCGGCUAGAUCAGUCGGGUGUGAAAGCCCCGGGCUUAACCUGGGAACUGCAUCCGAUACUGUCUAGCUUGAGUAGAGGAGGGGAGAGUGGAAUUCCACAUGUAGCGGUGAAAUGCGUAGAUAUGUGGAGGAACACCAAUGGCGAAGGCAGCUUUCUGGCCUGAUACUGACGCUGAGGUGCGAAAGCGUGGGGAGCAAACAGGAUUAGAUACCCUCGUAGUC
rnacentral:rRNA from 1 species